GGUGGCCCCAUGAACUUCAUGGUGACCAACGAACUCCACAUCGUUCCAUUCUCGUUGACCAACACCCUUGAAUUCCUGCGUGCAUCCAAGAUUCCGAAGGAGAAGCUUGUGGAAAAAGAACUCACGCUCAACAAAACCCAGUUCUGAAGCUGGUUGCAGCAGCGUUUGGGAUGCGCAAAGCCCUCAGCAGCGUGCUUCUGCCUUCAAAGAAGUAGAACCAUUGCCUGAGAUCGAGUUAUCCAUCCCUGAUCUGAAGAGCCUGAAGAUGGGAAGAUGUUGCUAGCAGUCUUCAUUGUCACUGUUUGCAGUUUGCAACUGUACUACUUCUAUUUUGUUGUGCGACUUGUGCCAUGGAUCAUCAUGUCGGAGAUCCAAACCUCUAUCCUUAUCGAUUUCCGAAGGAAUUUUACCGUUCCUUCCAUA